rnacentral:tRNA from 1 species
GCCCUUGUGGCCUAAUGGAUAAAGGCAUCGGCCUCCGGAGCCGGGGAUUGCGGGUUCAAGUCCCGCCAAGGGUA